CUUUUAAAAUUUUCCAUUUUAAGUUGGUUAUUUCUAAUUUAUAUUUAAAAGCAAAUAAUAAUGAUAUGGUAGGAGAUACACACCAAACAGGAUGUGUAAAUUAUUAUAUAAUAAGUAUUGUGCAAUAGCAAGAAAUUUUCAAUUGCACAGUAUUGCACAAUAGCAAGAAAUCUUCAAUUGCACAGUAUUGGGCAAUAGCAAGAAAUCUUCAAUUGCACAGUAUUGCGCAAUAGCAAGAAAUAUCCAAUUGCACAAUAUUGCGCAAUAGCAAGAAAUUGUCAAUUGUACAGUAUUGCACAAUAGCAAGAAAUAUUUAAUUGCACAGUAUUGUGCAAAAGGAGAUACUUCGUAUAAAUUGCUUAUUUCUUGACCAAUUUCAAUGGGGUUUUAUUCUUGAAUUCUUAGGGUUCUUUAAUAUGCUGAAUCUAACCGUGUAUUUAGUUUUUAUACGACCGCAAAAAAAUUUUUGUGGUUGUAUAUUGGUAUGACGUUGGCGGCGUCGUCGUCGUCGUCGCCUGGCGUUGUCCGGCGUCGUCCGAAGACACAUUGGUUUUCGCACUCUAACUUUAGUUUAAGUGAAUGGAUCUCUAUGAAAUUUAACCAUAAGGUUCAAUACCACAAAAGGAAGGUUGGGAUUGAUUUUGGGGGUUAUGGUACCAACAGUUAAGGAAUUAGGGGCCAAAAAGGGGCCAAAAAUGAGCAUUUUCUAGUUUCCAGACAAUAACUGUGGAACGGUGUAUGGAUCUCUCUGAAAUUAUACUACAAGUUUCCAUACCACAAAGGGAUGGUUAGGAUUUGCUUUGGGGGUUAUGACUCAAACCGUUAAGGAAUUAGGGGCAAAAAAGGGGGAAAAACAAGGUUGUCCUGGUUAAUGGACAAAUACUUUAGUACAAAACAUAAUUUAAAGCAGUGUAAGGGAGAUAAAUCAAAUACAUCAUUGAAAUUAUCUCCCUUACACUGCAUUUAAAUUAUGUAUAAAGUAAUGGUUAAUGAACAAUAAAGAUAAUCUAAAACAGUGUAAGGGAGGUAAUCCAAAUACAACGUUUUGGUUACUUCCCUUACACUGCUUUUAAAUUAUGUUUAAAGAAAUGCAUAUUUAUAAAGGAAGACCAGUAAAAAUAUCUGCAAAUGUUUUCAUCUUUUU